AAUCAAGCAGAGUACUCGUGGGGAGAGGUGUUUCCCUCCAGCAACGAAUCCAAAGAACAAGUGGAGCCCAACUCACCUGUGCACCGGGUAGACAAGCUCUACCUGGACCCCGAAAACAAUCUGAGCACAUUAGAGGACACUCCAUUAGAAGAUGAGGAGGAGGAUGAGGAGCAGAGGAGAACAAUGGCGGCGCUGCAGUCUGAGCUGCUGAAAUAUCUCACCGACGAAACUCUCCGUCCACCUGCCGCUGUCCUCCUUGAUGAUACCAGUCCGUCCAAAGAGCAAAAGGAAAGUGUGACUGGGAAUGGAAGCCAUCUGUGUUGCUAAGGAACAGCUUUAUCUCUGUGUUUGGUGAAGGAAUAUGAGUGUAUUUAUCAGUGUGUUGUUUUUUUUACCUUUCAUGGAGUUUUUAAAACAUUGAAUUCUGAGAUGUCGAAUGUGCUUGUUGUUUGUUACUGUUAAUACUGUGGUGUUGAGCACCAGGAUUGUCCUGUUAAAACAUAUGGCACAUGCACUAGACCUGGAAUGAGGGUCACCUGAGCUUCAAGAUCCUUGUUAUUAGGCCUUCAAAGCUUUAAAAGAGUUUUAGGUUGAUGAACCUUUUAAGUUAUAAGUAUUUUAAUAAUUUUUUACGUUUAAUUUAUAUUAUAUGUAUCUAUACUAUGAAUAAAUUGUUAUUGUAUAAUUUCAGUUU
rnacentral:lncRNA from 1 species